UACGGAGGGUGCGAGCGUUGUCCGGAAUCACUGGGCGUAAAGGGCGCGUAGGCGGCCUGGUAAGUAGGGGGUGAAAUCCUGCGGCUUAACCGCAGGGCUGCCUUCUAAACUGUCAGGCUAGAGCACGGUAGAGGCAGAUGGAAUUCCCGGUGUAGCGGUGGAAUGCGUAGAGAUCGGGAAGAACAUCAGUGGCGAAGGCGGGUCUCUGGGCAAUUCCUGACGCUGAGGCGCGAAAGCGUGGGGAGCAAACGGG
rnacentral:rRNA from 1 species